CUCCCGAUGAUCCUGCCGCAACUGACUGCUAUCUGGAUUGCCUACUACUACAUGAUACUAGCUCUAUACCUACCUUGCCGACGGCAUCGGUCACACCUGUUCCCCCUAACCUAUGGACGUGCACUCCCUCUUCCAAACUGAAAAUAACCCCGAUACAUCAUUAUGCCUGCCAGUGGCUGUACGAAUGCAAACAACUUACUGCCGUAAGAUGCGACUGCCUCACUAGCCCGCUUGUCGGUGCAGGAAUGUCGCCCCGCCGCUAUCACUAGUGCAGGCUCCGAGAGCAGAAGCCCGGAGAUGUGCACUUGUAGACGCUCACCCCGGUUCCUAUGGUCGCUCACUCGCUGAGCACCUUCAGCCUGCUGCAAAGCGCGACUACGUCACUCCCAGUGAUUUCUGUUGAAGAAAUCUUUUGUCAGUCGUAAACCCUCAGACGAAUAAGGGGUGGGCAAGUGUGGUCUCAGCCGCCGCGGUAAUACCAGCACCUCGAGUGGUCAGGAGGUUUAUUGAGCGUAAAGCAUCAGUGGCGGGCUACGCAAGUCUCCGGUUAAAUCCACCGGCUCAACAGAUGGGCUCCCGGCGAUACUACAUAGCUAGGGAGCGGGACAGGUAGACGCUAUUCUGCGGGUAGGGGUAAAAUCCACUGAUCCAUAGAGGACCACCAGUGGUGAAGGCGGUCUCCCCGACUGCGUUAGAGGGGGAGGGAUGCAAGCUGGGGGAGCAAGCCGGAUUCGAUACCCGGGUAGUCCCAGCGGUAAACGAUGCAAACUAGGUGAUGCUUUUGCGUAUGACCAAUGCAGGACCGCAGGGAAGCCGUUAAAUUUUCCACCUGGGAACUACGAACGCAAUUUUACAACUUUAAGGAAUUGGUGGGGGAGCA
rnacentral:rRNA from 1 species